UCCAUUCCAUUCAACUAACCCUAGAUCGGUUAAUUUUCCUUCAGAGCCCAGUCUUCCUCAUGCAGCUGGAUUUUGGCCAUCUACAUGGGUGGCCAUGGAUAGCUCUGCCACUCCCUUUCUGCUGCUGAUGCCUUGUCUUGCUUUUUCACAAUCACCAUUCUCUUAUUUUUCCACAGUGUCAGCCUCAGCAAUAAAAAAAAAUAAAUCUUUUCUCUGUCGGUGGUCUGCUGAACUUCUCUGUGUUUUGUCUCUAAUCUGAAGAUGGAAGACACACCAGGAGAAGGUGGUCUCCUAUUGACUGAAACACAGAACAGGGACACCUGUGAGAUCACAUUUCUGAGGUGUGCUGAAUGCCAUUGAAGCUCAUUGAAUCCUUGAAUCAUCACCUCAUGCAAACACACCUCAGAAGAUCAAAAUGCUGCAGACUGCCCAGCUGGCACUCGUCAGGUGAUGACCUUGCAGAAGAUGUAACAAAAAAGAAAAGCAAUGCUGGUAGGAAAAGAAAAAAAAUCCUUGAGAGAGAAGAUGUUUUGAAGUGUCUUGAGUUCUCCACAGUUAAAGGACCCUCUGGUCUUUCUA
rnacentral:lncRNA from 1 species